rnacentral:lncRNA from 1 species
ACAAUAACACCCCUGUACCAGAAGACCACCCCCAUUAUGAAUCCAUGAACCGUUUGCCUCGAAUCAAAUCACACCUGCUCGAAUCUUGGUUUGAAAUCUGCCCCAAAACCAAAAUUGUCCAAAUCCAACCAGACUUACACCCUACAACCUCCUUGACUUCCCCAUUCCGGAACCCAAACCAAAAUCCUUCAAAUCUAAGCCAAAGUUCGUG